rnacentral:ribozyme from 1 species
ACUAAAAGAGAGAGAAAAAAAAAAAAAAAAAAAAAGGGUCUGACGGGUUCCAAUUGCAGCGUCUGUUUUUUUUGGUGUAUACGAGUAUCUAUGAUUGUUGAAUUCCAUUUUAU